GACGGAGGAUGCAAGCGUUAUCCGGAAUUAUUGGGCGUAAAGCGUCCGUAGGUGGUUAUAAAAGUCUGUUGUUAAAGCCCACAGCUCAACUGUGGAUCGGCAAUGGAAACUGUAUGACUUGAGUGUGGUAGGGGUAGAGGGAAUUCCUAGUGUAGCGGUGAAAUGCGUAGAUAUUAGGAAGAACACCAGUGGCGAAGGCGCUCUACUGGGCCAUAACUGACACUGAUGGACGAAAGCUAGGGGAGCGAAAGGG
rnacentral:rRNA from 1 species